rnacentral:rRNA from 1 species
CCUACGGGAGGCAGCAGUGGGGAAUAUUGGACAAUGGGCGCAAGCCUGAUCCAGCCAUGCCGCGUGAGUGAUGAAGGCCCUAGGGUUGUAAAGCUCUUUCACCGGUGAAGCGGUAACCGGAGAAGAAGCCCCGGCUAACUUCGUGCCAGCAGCCGCGGUAAUACGAAGGGGGCUAGCGUUGUUCGGAAUUACUGGGCGUAAAGCGCACGUAGGCGGAUAUUUAAGUCAGGGGUGAAAUCCCAGAGCUCAACUCUGGAACUGCCUUUGAUACUGGGUAUCUCGAGUAUGGAAGAGGUGAGUGGAAUUCCGAGUGUAGAGGUGAAAUUCGUAGAUAUUCGGAGGAACACCAGUGGCGAAGGCGGCUCACUGGUCCAUACUGACGCUGAGGUGCGAAAGCGUGGGGAGCAAACAGGAUUAGAUACCCUUGUAGUC